rnacentral:lncRNA from 1 species
AAAGAGUACAAGAUACAAACAAGCACACCAAAAGUGAAUUAAAACAACAAACGAAAGCAAAUAAAAAACAAAUAAGAGAAAAGAAUCAACACUAAAACCUUGAAAAGCAAAAUCACAUGACAACCCCUGGUCGAUGAAAAAGUCCACCUGAAACACUAGGCACGCCACCUCUAGAAAGAGCAGGCUAAAGAGAGGUAAGC